CAGACGUUUUCUUAUGCUAUUUUGUGAUUCUACGUCUUGUGAUGUACAUUUAUGUAUUUUAUAAUUAACACUACCAGCCGAAUGUGCUUAAAUUAUUACUUCGAGUUUUUAAUUCCGCGUAGGACCCGUUUCUUCGUAAGAAAUAUUAUUAAAAUUUGUUUCAUUCCGCGUGAGAACCGGUUGAAAACUGCAGAAUAUUUUCCGCUGGAUUCACAAUGGUGUUAAAAAUUGCUAUGUAUGAUGCAAAAAAGUUUUUUUACACUACAAGAGGCAGGGUUCUCACUCACAGAACACUGGGGAUGGUUCAGAGCCUCUAAUUAUCUAUUAACAUUCAUAAUCAGCCAUCUUUCCACCUCCCAUUACAAGAAGAGCGUUCGCACAGUUGCAGGCUAACCCGUUAACCGCCGUCGCAUUGCGAGUUAGCCUCCACUCUUAUAACCUACUUUUUUCAUACAGCAGGUACCGUAAAUCAUUGUUUAUUGAUAGCCUAAUAGUGAUUCAUACAUGUUAACAUCGUAUUGGAAAGCUGAUGUUUUCAGAACUGAACACCCACAGCGAGACAAAGUGAUUUAGAGGGUUAAGAUUUCGACCUGGAGCCGCCACAGACUACGUAGAUCAUGUUGAGGUUUAUUCGAAAAAGGUUCGGACUUUUGCGUGUUUUUUUGUUCCCGCAGUAAUGUUCAAAGAGUUCGAUCCAAAGCCUCGAAUCUAGGGGACGAUGUUGAAGUUUAUUCGAAAAGAGUCUGAUCCAAAGCCUCGGAUCACAAGGACAAUGUUGAAGUUUAUUCAAAAAGAGUUCGAUCCAAAGCCUCGGAUCACAAGGACAAUGUUGAAGUUUAUUCGAAAAGGAGGAAACAGAAACUAUACCAGAAAAGUGAAAGAAUAUUAAGUUCAGUGUUUACAUUUAUAUUUUUUGAUUUUUUCAAUCCUCUGCACAAAGUUUCCCCCCAAAGUUUUCCUUUUCCCCACAUUUGAUACAGCUAACCCAUGUAGGGUAAUCAACUGUGAUCCUAGCGAUUUGCACAGGGCCGCAGCCAGGGUGUUCUGGGGAUCGGGACCCCCUUUUUAAAAUGUGAAAAAGAAAACAUUUCUUUGUAUCAUACAUGACAAUUUUUCAAAGCUUGAAACACUCCCUAGACCAGGGGCAGGCAAAUUAUGGCCCACGGGCCGAAUCCGGCCCACUUAUGUCUGCCGAAAUUACGAUUAUAGUUUGAUGGAUAAUGAAAUUCUGUUGAAAAGAUUGAUUAAAAUAAUGUCAUAAUGACCCUGAUUGUUACUUUGUGCUUCUUAUUAUUAUAUAAACGUUAGCCUACCUGUUGUAAAUGUUUUAUUCAUAGUUCCAAAUUAUUAUUUGUGACUGGCCCACUCAGUAAGUAAUUUCCCAACCCGGUUUACACCUUAAAGAAUCUUGGAAACCUAUGUUUUCAUGCUCCUGGCUGGCCCGUUAGUUUAACUUUGCAAUUGGAAAUUUCAGACCCCAUUCCCUUUGGGAACUCGUGACGCCCCUGAAUUACCUGGAUGCGGCACCAAUUGAUUGUUUUGGUUGUGGAAUUGUAAUUCAUCACGAAGGUUUAUUGCUGUGAUUUUUCAUUCCAUGGGUGUAUUCACAUUCAAUUUUUGGUACUCCCGAAGUAUGUGAACCAGGAUGGCACACCGGAACGUAGUAUGGAUUCCAAGUUAGGCCACAAUUUUACUCCAAUUUUCCUUAUUUUAGUUUUAUUACGAGUUUGGGUACU